CAAGUGCUCCCAACGCUGUUUGAACAGGAAGUUCAGUCCUUCCACGGUUGCUGCAGCAAACAGCCUCGGAAUGGGAAGAACUGAAAGAGGCCUUUACGUUGGAAGAAGAAGAAUUCCUUUUUUUAUUCUUAGUGCUGCUCCAACAUGAAGAAAAUGUGGUGGACUGGAGGGAGGGCUUUCUCUUACCACAGGCAAGAGCUUCUGAGCAGGAGCACCAAACAGGAAUAGACAGUUCCAGAAAAACCAGCAGAGAAGUAACUGGGAGGGAACCAAGCUGGAGAGCUGAGGAUGGAAAGGUGAUCCAAAGAUGGGAUCAUCCAUUUCCAAUUUCAUCUGAAUUUUUUUUUAUAAAAGAUCAACAGCUCCCCAAACUGAUGAAAGCAGCUACACAUGGAAACACUGCCAGUUACCUUGUGUAGCGGUCCUUAGGACUGUUAUGUCUUGGUACAGAGAGGAGCAAGAAGGCAAGAAUUCCUUUUUUAGCACCAUGGCUUCGAUCCGAAGUGAAUAGCUAAAAAGUGAUAAGAAAAUAACAAGAUUAAGUAAAGCUGUAGCAGGCGUCAGUAAUGACCCCGCUCCACAGAGACAGUGGCCAGAGAUGCAGCCUUACUUUGGCACCUGAAUCAAGCCAUACAGAAAGGAAUCUGCCAGAGAAAGCUUGGACACAUCGCCGUUAAAUGUCUUUAACUUCUUAACCUAAAAGACAAGAGAAAAGGGGAGAAGAGAAAAGAAAAUAAUUGAUCAAAAUUUAAGACUAAAUUUCAUUUUAGGAUCAUCCUAAAAAAAUAAUGUUUCAGUGCUAAAUUCGUAUUAAUAAAAUGUAGA